rnacentral:rRNA from 1 species
GUCCACGCCGUAAACGAUGCGCACUAGGUUUGUCGGACUCUGACGUCCGGCGCGCCGAAGUAAAAUGGUAAGUGCGCCGCCUGGGGAGUACGGCCGCAAGGCUAAAACUCAAAGGAAUUGACGGGGCUCACACAAGCGGUGGAGGAUGUGGCUCAAUUCGAAGCAACGCGAAGAACCUGACCUGGGUUUGACAUGCUGGGAUUAGCUCCAUGAAAGUGGAGUGACACGGCUUGCCGUGGAACCAGCACAGGUGCUGCAUGGCUGUCGU